AGAGAGAGAGAAAAGGAGAGAGAGAGAGGAAAUCACCAUCCCCCGAAUGACGCGAGAGGGAGUUAGAGUUCCUAGCUUGUCCCCCACAGUUGCAGUGCGUUCCCAACACCCGUGAGACAACCUCGAACUGUCCCGACGUAAGCAACGAAAUACACGCACGUACGGAUCGACACUCACAUUCGCGCACAACAAGAGUCACGAAGAGACUCAAUUUUUUCGUGUUGUCGUUUACUCUUCCUUGGUCUUUCUCUCUCUUUCUCUUUCUCUUUCUCUCUCUCUCUCCUCUCUCUUUCUCUCUCUCUCUCUCUCUCUCUCUCUCUCUCUCUCUCUCUCUCUUUUGUACUGGCUAAUCCAACUAUACCUCAAGCUCCCUCUCAAACUUUGAGGGAGGAAAACAUUCGACUACAGUUUGAAUACGUGACGUUGAACGCUCGAAAGAGAGAUUUUUUCAUUCUGUAUUUUAUCUUUCUCUUUCCUCAUAUCUGCCUUCGUAUUUUUCUUCGGGAUAUCUGUUUUUCCUUCUUUUAUCUUUUAUUCACCUUUACUCCUUUUACCUUUUCUACCAAUUGAACUCGUACGUUUCUUCAGUGUCCAGCGAUUUGCCGUAUCGUACAAAGCAUACAGUCAGUGUAUUUUUUGUAUAGAGGUAUAUCGAAAAUUUUUCAGAAGAAAGCUGAUCGGACUAAAGAAUAUGAGAGUUCUGCAGGGUGAGAUCAGUUUAAAGUGCGCGUUUAUUGCAAUAGCUGAGCAAGUUUCCUAGCAUAGAAAAGUGUUUUUCCUUUGAAAGACAAAAAAGCGAGUUAAGAUGGAGUGAGAGAAAGAAAAAGAGAAAUAGAAAGAGAGAGAGAGAGAGAGAGAGAGAGAGAGAGAGAGAGAGAGAGAGAAGAAAGAAGAUGUAGCCAUAAGCUGUAAAUCCUGAGUCAGUUUCUUCGGUGGAAAGUUCCUAGAGAACGAAUCGGUGGUCAACAAAGAGAAUAAAAUCACAAGAAGCGAUUAUUCAAUCGCGCAAAAGGGAUGCUACGUCAUGAGGACAAGAGACACGAUCAAAAUCAAUGGAAGAAAAGAUAGCACAGAAGAAUAUCGUCGUGAUCGAAAAGGUGGAUCCUGGUGAUUAUCGUUCUUCGCGGGAUUAACGACCUUAAAGUGAUCUCGUGCUGGUGAUAAAAAACGAGGAACAGGAUAAACUCUACGAGGUCGUGAACGUUUUUAAAUUCUUUCAAGUUUUCUCCAUGUUGUAUAGAUAUACACAUACAUAUACAUAUAGUACAAAGAAGAAAAAGUAAGUAGGAGAAAAAAAGGACAUUGCUCGUUACGAGGUAAUGACUUUGUAAUCGCGUAAAUAGGUGUACAUAGAGAAAAUCGACGGGACCGAUCGGUUCGAUUUAUUCAUCGUAAAAUAGUCACGCUGAAAACGAUAUUACUUUGUAGCGUGAGCAAGAGAGAGAGGAAGAGAGAAAAAGAGACAAAAUUAUAGUCUCAUUCUUUUCGUCUUCCUUCCCAUAUCACUUCUUUUUCUUCCUUGUCCUUUUCUUCUUAUCUAUUUCGUAUUUCUGUCGUUUUAUCUUAUACCAGUAACCGAUAGAUCUCUACAUAAGUAUAUAACACGCUCGGUUAGCAUUUCAUGUGUGCGUCCAUAUGUAGGGGACUGUGCAUACAAUUACUGCGUACACGUAUACGCAUAUGUAUAUAUAUAUUACGAAUGUUCUGCUGCCCGUCGAACAUAUCGUUCGAGAAUCGAUCGAAUCACGGAUAUUUAAUGUGAAAGUUAUUCGAAUUUCGAAUUGGGAUUCGUGUGUUUUUCGUCGUGCGUACGCGAUCAAUAAAUAAUCUUUCUCGCGGUCUAUAAUUCUAUCCGCACACUUUUUCCGUUAUUCAAUUUCUUGUUGAUCUUCCUUUUACUUUAUAUAUAUAUUUAUAUAUAUAUAUAUAAAGUUAUAUAUAUAUUAUAUAUAUAUUAUAUAUAUGUGUGUAUGUGUGUAUACAGACACACACACACACACACAGACACAUACAUACAUACAUACAUACACACACAUAUAUAUAUCGAAGCAUUUAUCUUCCAAUAUGAUUCGGAAAGCAGGUCGGAGCAGUACGGGUAUCCAAUGCUUAGACUUUAGUCCCCGUGCGAUAAUUAAUUAUUAGCUCGCGGACGUCGUUAGUGCGAAUCAACGUACAAGUUAUUUCAAACGUCGAGACCUUUAAAUACGAAGAGCCAAAAUUGGAGAGAGAUAGAGGAACACAGUGUUUCGAUAAAUAAUCGGGCUUUCUUGAAUCAAAAAAAGUCUUCUCUCUCUCUCUCUCUCUCUCUCUCUCUCUCUCUCUCUCUCUCUCUCUUUCACACGAUUCAGUAUAGUUCGUGUCAAAUAUCCAUGCCCGAGAUUAAUUUAAAGGAAAGGUUAGAAAGGGGGACCAAUUUUUCACGCGCAUUUUAAUCCUCUCUUUCUUCUUUCUACUUUUACCAUGCGUCUACACAUUUGUAUAGUUUAAUCUUUACCCUCUCGAUCCUUUCAUACAUCCAUCCUACGCGCCGAAUGUUCAUCUCUCUCCUUUUGCUUCUUACUCGCUUUCUUUAUCUCUUUAUCUCUCUCUCUCUCUCUCUCUCUCUCUCUCUCUCUCUCUUCCUCUCCCUCUCUCUCUCUCUCUCUCUCUCUUUCUCUCUCUCUCAUUUUCUAUAUGAAUACAUUUUUUUUCGUUCGUUCGUAUUGAUACUGUCAUCGUAAGCCAGUGAAUUCUGCAGUCGCGAUUCACGCAAAGCAAUAACUAAAGGGCCAAUCUACGAUUAAGACAACGACAACGAUGAUGUAAAAAAACGAAGAGACGCAGAAAGAACAAAAAGAAAAAAGGAAGAAAGGCAGAGAAAUGAGGACACUUCGAUGCCUUCAUUGAGAAACAAUUCGCGUCACCGAGCGUCGCUUACCGCCCCAGAUAUUAGCUUCAGAAUGAAAGAUCUCAUAAUUCUUAUGUAGACGAUGGUUCAACGUUUUAUUAAAUAAAAAAUUUAAUAUCUAUAAAAACACAAUUUCACGUAUUAGGUAAUAAAUCUGCACUUGAGGUGAAAGACGACGAGUAAAGGAGGAAUUUAAAAGAAGAAAGAGAGAAGGGGUGAAGGAGAGAAAGAGAGACUGGUUCGAUCUUCGAUAAGAAUGACAAUGUCGAAGCGGGCAUGACGGCGCUGACCUCGAGAUGCGACGAGACCACCACUCUCUUGCUAUUGUUAUUACUGGAAUUGGCACCUGGUGCAAGCUGUUAUCCGCGUUCCUCUAUCGGCGCGACAUUAGAGGCGUCCUCAAACGACGGUGGUGCGUCGUCCCCCGACGUAAGUUCCUCAACCGCGACGAGAUAGCAUCCGCAGAGCACGGCGAGGGUGCGAGUGAUGAUUCCGCCACUUCUUGGGAACAUUAUGUUUAUCGACGACGCCGGUAGCUCGGCAACGGCGUCCACGAACGUCUUCGAGGAGAACAUGACGUGGUCUCGUUCGACAAUUGCCGGCUCAACGUCUUUUUCUACAAUCAGCGAGGCCACCUCGAAAAGCUACGAGGAAACGAAAGAAGAACGAGGGAGGACAGAAACGAUCACUCGCCUUGCCGAUUUUGCUGUCGGUUGGACCGACUGGAACGGCACCGAGCGAAUAGAGGAAAGUAGAAGAGAAGGGGAAAAAAACAAGUCGGUGGAAACUUCUAACGAUCCAAUCAAGGAGAUCGGUGAACAGCCGAGAGGAAGAGAUCCCCUCGGUUAUGCCUGCGAAAGGGAAGAUUCUUUGAUUUCCAGCGUCUCCGAUAGGAGCACUUUUGAGAUCUUCACUGGAGGUUCGAGCCUUGGCGUUGAUCUUCUCUUUGACAUAACCUCCGACACUAUGAAAGAUCUUGCCGUCUCUUCCUCCAACGACUCCAUCUUCAACGAGAGUCUACAGUAUACUUCGAAUAAAAGCUAUAAUAACGAGACCUUGAUCGUUUUCGGUGAUAGCAUGUAUCCAUCGGGAUAUACUUUGCCGCACAUCAUCCUGGCCUCGAUCGUGGCUACCCUUUUGAUGGUAGUAAUCGUCGUUGGUAACAUGCUUGUAAUAAUUGCGAUUAUGACGGAGAAAGCACUGAAGAAUAUUCAGAAUUGGUUCAUUGCCAGUCUCGCUGUCGCAGACUUCUUCCUGGGUCUCAUCAUAAUGCCAUUCUCAUUAGCGAACGAGAUCAUGGGUUACUGGAUCUUUGGCUAUUGGUGGUGCGAUAUAUACUCAGCGAUGGAUGUGUUACUCUGCACGGCCAGCAUCAUGAAUCUCUGUCUCAUAAGUCUCGAUAGGUUCUGGAGCAUUACUCAGGCAGUGGAUUACUUGAAGAAAAGAACACCGGCCAGGGCGGCACUUAUGAUCGCCCUCGUCUGGCUACUAUCCGCUCUCGUUUGUAUACCGCCAUUGCUUGGCUGGAAGAGGCCAACACCGGAAGAGGAUUAUCCCAAAUGCAAGCUCUCAGAGGAUAUCGGUUACGUUCUGUACUCGGCUCUCGGAAGUUUCUACAUCCCCUCCUGCAUCAUGGUCUUCGUGUAUAUACGCAUCUAUUUCGCGGCGAAAGCUCGAGCGCGUCGCGGAAUUCGGAAACAUCCACGGCCACGGCCGAUGUCGGUGCCACCGGAAUCACCGGAUAUCAGACAGACGAGUUUCACGCACAGCACUCCGGCAACCGAAAUGAGGAGAUCGACAGCGAGUGCCGGAGGUAGCGCCGGGACGCUCCUGGAAAACGUCGCGACGAUCGAAAAUCAACCAGUCCAAAUACCGAUCGUCACCUGCGACUUUGCCAGUGACGUCAGCACCUCCGAGGCCGAUCCUGCCGGUGGUAAUAAUAUACCAAUGGAGGAGAAAGACACCUUAAAGGUAACGAUACCCGUACCGGUUCAAAAGAGCAACCUAAAGGCAAGUUUGUCGGUAAACGGCGACGGUCAAUCGAGUCAGAGCGUGCCGGCACGAUGCAGAGCACCCAGUGUUGGCAUCGAUGUAGACAUGGUGUCGGAGUUUGAUCCUUCUUCGUCGGACAGUGGCGUCGUCUCGAGGUGUGCCGUGGUGAAGCCAUUAAAGCUGCGUCUUUGCCAGCCAAUUUUUGGUCGGAAGACAACUGGUAAGUUGAAGAGAGAGCAAGCAGAAACGUCUCAACACCAAGGAAAAGAAGAAAUCGUGAUCGAGCCAAAAUCGUCGAAACCACGCGAUCCGGAGCGAGAGAAGAGACGAUUAGCCAGAAAGAAGGAGAAACGAGCUACCCUCAUCCUUGGAUUCAUCAUGGGUAGCUUCAUCGCCUGCUGGCUACCUUUUUUCCUUCUUUAUAUCGUAAAACCCCUGUUCCCGGAUCUCGAUAUACCCAGCCAGGCAUUUGUCAUUGCCUUUUGGCUUGGUUACAUGAAUUCCGCUUUGAAUCCUUUUAUUUAUACGGUGUUCAACAAAGAUUUCCGUCGGGCGUUCCGUCGUAUACUUUUCAAAUGAAAGACAGCUUCUCUCCGUGAGGAUAACAAAUAGCAAAAUGUUCAAAUUCGAACUAAUUUCUUCUGCGGGAAAAGAUCGAAAUGCCGACCUGAUCAAUCGGUUUCAAGAUCGAGAAGGAUCGAGGAAGGUUCUUGAGAAUGAAGCGUAAAACCUUCGGAGAGAAAUGAAAGGAAUUAUUUUAUUACGUUCUCUUAAACAAUGAAAUCUCAAGGAUACGUUCGCAAAUAACAGCCGAUGGAUUCCAUAGCAAUGGAAUUUAUUGAAUCCUCUCGAUAGAACAAUGCCGGGAUGAAUAAUGAACGAGGCUAAUGCAAUAGUUUGGCGAAAUAAAGUGGAGACAGAGCGCAAGGAAGAUGGAGUCAAACCAUUUACAAUUUCGAGAGAAUGAACUAUCAGCUACGAAUUCUUUCUCGUCUCAUCUUCGAUAAAUUCGAGAGCAUGUGAACGACCACUAUGUACGACGAUUAUGUACGUGUACGUAGAUACUUGUUAUUUCCUCCUCAAUGAUCCUCUAAAGCUUCCUAGUUUUCUUUCCAAAUAUGUUUCUCACUCGUUUUCGUAAGUUAUCCUUUGAUGUGUCAAACAACAAGGUUCCACGAGAACGAUUUUCCUUUCAUUUCUUCCUCUUCAUGCCUUUAUUUUUGGAAUUUAUCUUUAUCCUUGAAUGGAUCACACUAUAUAAGGACACUUCACAGUCGCAAAUAGAUUCGGUUCUUUGCGCGUUUUAAUAUACAUGAAUUUUUUUCCCUUAUCGAUUAUAACGUUUUAUACAAAUAUGAUUAAAAUCGCCUCACUUUAAUUUUCAACGUAGCGUACCAUUCUCUUGAUAGCCUUUGGAAUAUCUGAAAAGAAAAGGACGUACCGUGAUUGACGGAUCGUCGAGUACGAGACGAGUGAAGGAAAGAGGGUGGAAGCCAAUAUGGAUUUCGGUGAUAAGGCUGUGGCACAUUCGUUGGUCGGAUUAUUAGCAUAGACGUGUUCGAUACAGCAUCUCUCAUCUGUUUUAUCUCUCCCUCUUUUCUCUUUCUUUUUGAAAAAUCUUGGAAUUUCAAGCAUACGAUAUCGGAAAAAUUGGCGUAUUUCGCCCUCGAUUUUCAAUUAUUAUUCGUGUCUUUUUUCGUACACGUACAUAUGUACUUACGUAUCUUUGCAUGUGCUACGUGCAUUCAAGCAAUAUCUGUUUUAAUCUCAAUUCGUUUUUAAAACAUCGUUCGGUCGUUUCUAAUAAAAAAGAAAAAUAUACACAUGUGUACAUGUAUAUAUAUAUAUAUAUAUAUAUAUAUAUAUAUAUAUAUAUAUGGAUAUAUACGAAGCGUGUUCUACUGGAUCGACGUCAAAAAAAUAUUUUUUACAAUAUCACUUUUUUCGCCUUUAGCUUUUGAGGAUUCCCGAUGGAUGAUUUUGAAAGAAAAAUAGCAAGCUCGAACGAUUACAAAGGAUCUCUAAAUAAUAAUUUAACUUCGCGUACGGAUCAAACAAAGGUAAGACGUGAAAUUAACGCGUUAUAAAAUAACACGUUCAGAGGAGCAAACGAAAUGAUCGAUCGACUAUAAAACACGUUGCUGAAAUCGAGAAUGUUACUCUAAAAACACUUCAUCGAGAUAUAUCACGCUUUAAGAUUUUUCAGCGAGCCGAGACGAAGUUUUCGUUGGAGCUUACACGUUCGAAUGACUUUCCCAAACGACGGCGUUUUGAUGCUACGCUUCGUAUCCAUCAAAAUGCAUUUUACGAUUAUAAACUUGAUCGAUGACCAGUAGACUCGAACGAAGAACUAGUGAAAUAGAGAGAAUAUUUCGUUAAAAAUCUUUCUCUUUCUCUUCGAUCUUUAUUUUCUUAGUUCUUUUUAUUAUAUUUUCCUAUUUGACUCUUAAGUAAUUAAAAAAUUGAUAGCACAUAAUACGAGACGAUUGGGAAUAAUGAAAAAAACUACUAUUAUUUCGAGAAUAACAUCUAUUAAAAAUAGGAAAGAACGAAGUACUCUCAUAGUUUGGUUUUUAACAAAACGUUAUGUGUUCGUCGAUCUAGAUUUAAGUGAUAAUUAAAGGAUAAGGACUAACGCAUAAAAAAUUAAAGUUGAUAGAAGAAAAGAAAAACGGUAAAACUUUCUUGGCAAAUUUCGAUAAGAUACAAUUGUAAUUAUAUUUACGCAAGAACGCAAUUGCUUACGAACUAUGAUUAUUUGAUAUGUGUACUAACAAUAAGUUCGUCGCCUUAGGCCGGGCUGAUCAAAUCUCUUGCAAACGGGAUUUAAAAAAAUCUUUUCUCUGUAUGUGUGUCAGUAAGUAUUAAAAAGAUAUUUAUAAUUAAUCUACAACAACCAAAACGAAGAGGUAAAACUCGAACGACGUUACAUAAAGAAUUAAUAUAAGACGAUUCCGAUCAGAUAUUAAUAAACAAAGAUAAUACAAAUGAAUAUAUUAAAUAUAUUAUUAUAAAUUACAUUACACAAAGCUAUCGCGCGUAUUGUCCUAAAAUAAUAACGAGAAAGAAAACAAGGGGAUAAAAACAUUAAAAAUAAUAAUAAUAA